CAAUGUGACAUCAGGGUCAUUCUGGGAAAUUAAAAUGGCUGCCUGCCACUGCUGCCAGCCACCAGCUGCUGCAGCAGCAUUUCCUGCUUUUUGACUGGCCAAAGCGAACAACAUCUGGAAACAGAGGUGCCAGCUUGAAUAAACUAUUGUGGGGGCCCAGGCAUUUGUUAUGACAUGUAUCAUUUAGUAGAACAACCUGAACCUUCCCAUUCUUCAACAACAAAAAAUGUGCAGCCUAGUGCAGAAUAAGAAAGCAUUAAAAAUAAGACUUUGGUAUAUCAGGAUCUGUGCAGUUAUAAAAGGAAAAGCAUGCUGCCCAGAUGUCAAACCAACUAAAAAAUGUUGUACGUUGCCAGAAGACCCAUGUUUCUCAGGUU